UAACGCGUGAGGAACCUGCCUUGGAGAGGGGAAUAACACUCCGAAAGGAGUGCUAAUACCGCAUGAUGCAGUUGGGUCGCAUGGCUCUGACUGCCAAAGAUUUAUCGCUCUGAGAUGGCCUCGCGUCUGAUUAGCUAGUAGGCGGGGUAACGGCCCACCUAGGCGACGAUCAGUAGCCGGACUGAGAGGUUGACCGGCCACAUUGGGACUGAGACACGGCCCAGACUCCUACGGGAGGCAGCAUG
rnacentral:rRNA from 1 species